rnacentral:piRNA from 1 species
GGCCAUGAACCGCUGAGUA